CCUACGGGUGACAGCAGUGGGGAAUAAUGGGCAAUGGAGGCAACUCUUACCCAGCAAUGCCGCGUGAAUGAAGAAGGUCUGAGGAGUGUAAAGGUCGGUAAGUGGGGACGAAAAAAAUGACGGUAACCAAGGAAUAAGCCACGGCUAACUACGGGCCAGCAGCAGCGGUAAUACGUAGGGGGCAAGCGUUGUUCGGAAGGACGGGGCGUCAAGGGUGUGUAGGCGGUGUCGCAAGGUAGAAGUGCAAUACCUAGCGCUGAACUCAGGUGCUGCUUCUAAAACUGCUAUACUUGAGUGCAGUCGAGGCAAGUGGACUUCCUAUUGUAGCGGUCUCAUGCGUAUAUCUUAGGCG
rnacentral:rRNA from 1 species